AAUACCCUACCACUAUUGUCGUUUUUUCGCUUUGUUUCAACAACCAUUUCUCUCUCUAAAUCUUGAAUCAAUAAACUAUUCUACUUCUGGCAGAAACAAAUUCACAGAUUUAAGAUUGUUUCUUCUUCAAUUCUAAAUUAUAGGGUUUUCCUUUGCAGAUUUUGGAGUUCAAUCUUCGGCCAUUGUUCUUCAGUAAGUGUUCUCCCAAUCGGUUCCAAACCACUCAACUAUUCGGGUUUGAUUCGUAGUUGAAUGCUGUGACUUUUAUUGUCGAUUAUUUCUUUCUGGCGAAUUUGGUGCAACGAAUUUGGUCCUCUGAUAAUAAGUGUCAAGCUAUUAGGAAUCAUCAUUUCAUCUAUGUUCAUCGCCUCGAAUCAUCAGUUAUCAAGAUUUACAGAUAUCCAAACAAACAAAGCUUCAUCGGUUCUGGUCAUCAUUAAAGUACUCAUCCCCUGCCACUACAACUUGCGGUUCAACAUGAGAUUCAACAAAACAACAAUGGGUCAGUUUCCAAGCAACAGGAAGAAUGGUGAUGCGGUCGAUUGGGUGUGAUCAUGGAAAACGACCGACUAUAUUCUUGUCUCGUGUCCCUCCUUGGCUAUGGUAUGGAUUUAAAUUUGUCUGUGGGUAAAUGUGUUACCCGCACCCGUCUUUCACGCUAACCGGGAGGCUUGGAUCACAUCACUGGGUUCGGGCCUUCCAAGGACUCAAGGAGGGUAAGAAGGUGCUUAGUUUGAUAGUUAUGGCCUCACUUUGUUUGAUAAUAAUGGAUGGCUAGAAACAACAGGAAUUUCAACAACAAAAUGGAGCAGUGGUUUGAGUUGGUGGAAGAUGUGAAAGGAACCUCUUUCCUUUGGUUGUCUCUCUGGUCAAAGAUCAGAAGCAACGAUUGGUCUUUAUGGAGGAUUUUUGAUUAUAUGGUUUAAUGGUGUUGUCUUGAUUUGGUGUAAUGUGCAACUGUUUGCUUUGCUAUCCUAGCUUCUUGCUGGGUCCAGCUUUGGUUUUCUAAUAUUGCCAUUUGACAAAAAAAAAAUCUAAUGUCUCCCAU